GCCCACUGAGUCAUGCAGAGCCAUCUACCUGUGAGGAGGCUGGCGUGGGUUCCCACACCUGGAGCCUCGGGAGGGCUCUGCUCGGGUUCUCUCCUCCACAGUGAGGUUGCCAAGCCACUGCAUGGAGUGUUUUUAUUAAGAAGUCAUUCUGAUGGUAGGCAUAGGAAGUAGAAGGGCUUUUUGAGAUGAAAACAAGAUGUAUCAAGAUAAUUAUAUAAUUAUCUUCCUGUUACAGAGGUAAUAGUUGUAAAAUAUUGCUACUCUCUUAAGGUAUUUUGAAGCUCCUCUCCUUAACAGAAUCUGCCUCAGAACUUCGAUUUCUAAUAUCCAAUUUGGCAAUACCUCAAAAAGUUCGACCUAGAAUUACUGUGUGACUCAGCAGCUCUACCGUUACAUAUAUGCCCAACAAAACUGAACAUGGGUUUUCUAACAAACACAUGUACGUGGAUGUUUGUAGCAGCACCAUUUACAACAGCCAAAAUGUAGAAACAACCGAAAUGUGCAUAAGUAAGUCAGUGGAUCAAUAAAUGUGGUGUCUCUUAAAUUCCCCUGGAGUAUUACCAGCUGUUAAAUGGACCUCAGUACAGUCAGAGGCUACACUAGGGAUAAGCCCCAUGAAUACCACAAUACGUGAAAGAAGCCAAACAAAAGUGGCUAUGUUUUGUGAUUCUGUUUCUAUGAAAUACCUAGAAUAGUAAAAUGCAUUGAGACACAGUGAACUAGUGGCGAGCAGGGGCAUUAGGGGAGAGUGGGAAGAAGGUGAGGAACAGGGACUGACUGCAAAUGGAUGUCAGCUCUCCUUUUUGGUAUGAUGAAGACGUUUUGGAACUAGAUGCUGGCAAUAGUCGCAAGUCCAUCCUAGCACUUUGGGAGGCCAAGGCGGGUGGAUCACUGGAGGUCAGGAGUUCGAGACCAUCCUGGCCAACAUGUAUCUGUAUGUAGGAUGGUCUUGGCAGGUGUGUAUACAGCUUGUGCUACGAAUGAUAGUCGUGCAGAAGCAGGUGUGUGAGGAGGAAAAGUAGCGAGAUCUCAAAGGACUGAGAGACCUAGGAGGAGCUGGUCCUGGAUGGACAGGGAGAGGAGGAAGGAGGCAGGAAAGGAACAGCGAGUGCUUCAAGGCUGGCAGUGUCCUUGUGCUUGGAGGGGAGGCCAAACACGUUCCUGAUGACCGACAGACUGAGACUUGGUGAGAAGUGCAGAAGGGGUUCAGUGCAGAAUGGCACAGUGGGAGUCACUGGAGAGCUGUGGGGAGGGCUGGGAAGAGGUGGGCACAAUGGGCCAGCCAACAGCCAUGACCGGGAAGGGAGAGGAGGAGAGUCGUUUAAUCACAGCUGUUAAUUCACAGAAAGGUUUUUAUU